rnacentral:lncRNA from 10 species
UUUUUUUUUUUUUUUUUAAAUCCCCAGGAAGGUCUCAGUGCUGCAAAAGCUCCAUGACCAUUCUGCUUCUAAACUGACGGAGCAAACAUAUAUUUCCAGUGGUAAUGCUAGGAAAUACUUUGCUAAGGAUGUUACUUUGGUCCUUCAGCCAGUGGUCAGAGAACAGAAUGACCAUACUGCAACCACCCAUGGUGAACUGACUGGCACACCUACAAAAAUCUUAUCUUUGGGGUCCCCAUAGUACCCAGUGGAUUGCCUUGCACAUUGUAGGUGCUCAGUAUGUGUUUGCUAAAGACAUGACCCUGGAUAAAUCACUUCACCUCAAUUAGUCUGUUUCCCAAAUCUGAAAAUAAAAGCAGUGAAAUGGACAAGGUGACAGUUAAGGCCUUGAAUCAGAAGAGCCUCUGACAAUGUGACAAAUAGCUUAGCCAUUCCUCCAAGACUGAGAUAAAAUGUCACUCUUGGUUCAGGAGCUGUGGCAGUAGGAGAACAUCAGGCAACUAGUCCUAGACUUAUCAUCAUCCCCAUGGAAGGAGUGUGAUUGUAAGUCUCUCU